CUCAUCUCCCCCCCAAAGCUUAUGAACAUCAGCAGCACAAUGAGACAGCUUGUCCAAGGGAAAUAUUAGAGAAGGAGGAGUAAUUGCUGUGCACUGAUGUUUGAAGAAAAUGAGAAUGAGAGAGAUUUCCUCAACAGAGGAAACUAUUGGCCUCAGAACCAAACUCACACUUGUUGCAACAGUUAAUUUUGCAAAAUCACAAAAACAAAAAAUAAAGUCAGGCCAAGUUACAGUAGUUUCCAGACAGCCACUUCUGUUCCUAUUCCAAG
rnacentral:lncRNA from 1 species